rnacentral:rRNA from 1 species
UACGUAGGUGGCAAGCGUUGUCCGGAUUUAUUGGGUUUAAAGGGUGCGUAGGCGGCCCUGUAAGUCAGUGCUGAAAUAUCCCGGCUUAACCGGGAGGGUGGCAUUGAUACUGCGGGGCUAGAGUACAGAUGAGGUAGGCGGAAUUGACGGUGUAGCGGUGAAAUACUUAGAUAUUGUCAAGAACACCUAUAGCGAAGGCAGCUUACUAGGCUGUAACUGACGCUGAGGCACGAAAGUGUGGGGAUCAAACAGG